GUAGUUCACCGGGCGACCGCAGCAACUCUGUGACCGAGAUCGAAAGACCGACGUCUCGAGGAGCGCUGAGGAAAGUCCGGACUCCAAAGGGCAGGGUGCUGGAUAACGUCCAGGCAGGGUGACCUGACGGAUAGUGCCACAGAAAGCACACCGCCGAUGGCCGUGCGGGAAACCGCCGGAACAGGUAAGGGUGAAACGGUGGUGUAAGAGACCACCAGUGCUGCAGGUGACUGCCGCAGCUAGGCAAACCCCACCCGGAGCAAGAUCAAGCAGGAACAGGAUGACCCGUCCGCUACGUUCCAGGUAGAUCGCAUGAGGCAGGCGGCAACGCCAGUCCCAGAUAGAUGGUCGCUCUCGACAGAAUCCGGCUUACAGGUGAACUACGCGC
rnacentral:RNase_P_RNA from 1 species